rnacentral:rRNA from 1 species
ACGAACGCUGGCGGCGUGCCUAAUACAUGCAAGUCGAACGUUUCUUUCCUCCCGAGUGCUUGCACUCAAUUGGAAAGAGGAGUGGCGGACGGGUGAGUAACACGUGGGUAACCUACCCAUCAGAGGGGGAUAACACUUGGAAACAGGUGCUAAUACCGCAUAACAGUUUAUGCCGCAUGGCAUAAGAGUGAAAGGCGCUUUCGGGUGUCGUUGAUGGAUGGACCCGCGGUGCAUUAGCUAGUUGGUGAGGUAACGGCUCACCAAGGCCACGAUGCAUAGCCGACCUGAGAGGGUGAUCGGCCACACUGGGACUGAGACACGGCCCAGACUCCUACGGGAGGCAGCAGUAGGGAAUCUUCGGCAAUGGACGAAAGUCUGACCGAGCAACGCCGCGUGAGUGAAGAAGGUUUUCGGAUCGUAAAACUCUGUUGUUAGAGAAGAACAAGGACGUUAGUAACUGAACGUCCCCUGACGGUAUCUAACCAGAAAGCCACGGCUAACUACGUG